rnacentral:rRNA from 1 species
GACGAACGCUGGCGGCGUGCUUAACACAUGCAAGUCGAACGAUGAAGCCGGAGCUUGCUCCGGUGGAUUAGUGGCGAACGGGUGAGUAACACGUGAGCAAUCUGCCCUUGACUCUGGGAUAACUGCGGUAAACUGUAGCUAAUACCGGAUACGACACCUUGGGGCAUCCCAGGGUGUGGAAAGAAUUUCGGUCAAGGAUGAGCUGGCGGCCGAUCAGCUAGUUGGUGAGGUAAUGGCUCACCAAGGCGACGACGGGUAGCCGGCCUGAGAGGGUGACCGGCCACACUGGAACUGAGACACGGUCCAGACUCCUACGGGAGGCAGCAGUGGGGAAUAUUGCACAAUGGGCGAAAGCCUGAUGCAGCAACGCCGCGUGAGGGAUGAAGGCCUUCGGGUUGUAAACCUCUUUUAGCAGGGAAGAAGCGAAAGUGACGGUACCUGCAGAAAAAGCACCGGCUAACUACGUGCCAGCAGCCGCCAGCG